ensembl:lncRNA
GUAAAAUCCACCUUAAUGGCAUGUUUUUAGCCCACUAUUAUAACUUCAACUUGGAAUCAAUAUAAAAAUUAUUGAGACCAUUUACCAUCUUUUUUUCACUAAGUUCUAAGUCAUUUUUCUGCAGUCAUACACAACGAGACCAGAUAUGUUCAGGUUCCACGGGCUUAACGGCCACGGUCAUCUUUUUUUCACAGAGACUCUGAAAUCUGGUAUGGUCUGAGCCGGCUGGUCCCGGUUCAGACCAGCCGCGUGUGGAUAGCGGCUGUCAUACCAGACAGCCUUGGUCUAACGAGCCUUAUUUUAUUUCUCCUCUCCGCGGGCGAGAGCCAGCACCACUUGCAUCGAACAGGGAGGGGACUGAGGCUCAGAGCUGAUAGUGGCGGUCAUGGGAUCAGCAGCAACAGUGGUUUGCUCACUGAACAGGGUUCUGUUUGAGCCCUGAUUUUGCCACUUCCGAUUUCCGUGACCUCUGGCAGGCUGUUUCAAGUCUCCUAGGCGGUUUCCCUACAACUGAAGUAAAAGAGAAAAAAUAACUCCUACUCAUAGAGUGCAAGGAUUAGAGAGCGUGUUUGCAAAGGACUCUCAGGUGGCUGGCACAUACAAAAGGGUUAAUAAAUGCUGGCGAUUCUGAUAGCAAUGGACCAGGCAGAACCUCUCCACUGGAGGGAGAUCCCUCAGUUGGUUCCCGGAGAACAUUCCAGAAGAGCUGUCUCAGCCUCAGAACCUCUAAGGAGGCCCUGGGUGGAGUCUGUGGCAUUCGGUGGCGCGGUCCUCGCCUCGAAGGGAUCCCGGCUCUCUGGGAGCUCCGCUGCACCUCACUCCAGGGUACCGGCUUUGCCAGCUCCCUCUCAGGGGGAUCCAGAUCUCGCUGCGUGGCGCCCAGGAAUCCACACACACUGAACAGGACUCCCUAGAUUUAUUCCAUCCCUACCACGUGCCGGGCAUGUGCUGAGCACUGGGACACGGAGACUUAAAAGCAGAAACCAGACAGUUCCUGCUUGGAAGGAGUUCGCACAGUUGGAGCCCCAGAUCUCAUUCCUCACCCCACAGGUGGAGGGGCUGCGACGCCCAGAAAAAGGUGGGCUCCCACAGGGUCCUACAGUCUCCCUGACCUGCCUCCAGCCCCCCCACCCCCUUUUCAUGAGCUUUUCACUCUAAACCAUGGAUUUAUCUCUGAAAUACUCAAGCACAGGG